UCCACAUUAGACCCUGAUUAUUGCCGGAAAAGUGAGUUGAAAGCUUUUGAUGACACAAAGGCUGGCGUUAAAGGACUUGUUGAUGCUGGAAUUACCCAAGUUCCUCGCAUUUUCCAUCAUCCAUCUGAUGAACUUAAAAAAAUUUCACAUGAUGCUGCUGAUGACAAGUUCACUUUUCCUAUAAUAGACCUUGAAGGCAUCAAUCAAGGUUCAGCUUUGCGCAAGGAGAUCGUUGACAAAGUACGAAAUGCUUCAGAGACU
rnacentral:misc_RNA from 1 species